rnacentral:lncRNA from 1 species
AAUCAUUUGCUUGGCUAUUUUUCUCAUGGAUACAGUUGAUGUGGCAGAAUCAUAGUGAUGGUGUGUCGAACGACAGGAGAAGUCAUCGGCUAAGAUUUCUACCAUGUGUCGACAUCACCGAUGGUGGUGGAGUUCUCAGCAUCGAUCUUAACAAUUAAGCAUCUCUAUAAAUAAGGAGUCCCUUUUUUACCUACAGCUUUCUUCUUUUACGAUUGCAUUCACCCCCCACUCC